GACGAACGCUGGCGGCGUGCUUAACACAUGCAAGUCGAACGGAAAGGCCCUGCUUUUGUGGGUUGCUCGAGUGUCGAACGUGUGAGUAACCCGUGGGUAACCUGCCCUUGACUUUUGGUUAACUUCAGGAAACUGGGGCUAAUACCGGAUAGGAGCUCCUGCUGCAUGGUUGGGGUUGGAAAGUUUCGGCGGUUUGGGAUGGACUCGCGGCUUAUCAGCUUUUUGGUGGGGUAGUGGCUUACCAAGGCUUUGACGGGUAGCCGGCCUGAGAAGGUGACCGGCCACAUUAGGAAUGAAAUACAGCACAGACUAAUACGGGAGGCAGCAGUGGGGAAGAUUGAAGAAUGGGCAGAAGACGGAUGCAGGAAGGAAGCGGGCGGGAUAAAGGCCUUCGAGUUGUAAACCGCUUUCACAUGUAACGAAGCGGGAGUGACGGUAAUGGGUAAAGAAGCACCGGCGAACUACGAG
rnacentral:rRNA from 1 species